AGGAUAAUAGUUAAAUAAUAACAUUUAAUUUGCAUUUAAAAAUUAUUCUUAGAAUUUAUCUUA
rnacentral:tRNA from 1 species